UAGUGAAGUUGUGGCAGUUAUCCUUCAGGCCUGACUUGAAAUGAGGACACAUAUUAUAGGUCAUUA